GGUUGCUACUUGAAAGAUGGUUCUGCUAUCACUAAGAGAUGGUCCCGCGGCGCAUUAGUUAGUUGGUGAGGUAAUGGCUCACCAAGACGAUGAUGCGUAGCCGAGUUGAGAGACUGAUCGGCCACAAUGGGACUGAGACACGGCCCAUACUCCUACGGGAGGCAGCAGUAGGGAAUCUUCCACAAUGGACGAAAGUCUGAUGGAGCAACGCCGCGUGUGUGAUGAAGGGUUUCGGCUCGUAAAACACUGUUGUAAGAGAAGAAUAGCAUCAAGAGUAACUGCUUGGUGUGUGACGGUAUCUUACCAGAAAGGAACGGCUAAAUACGUGCCAGCAGCCGCGGUAAUACGUAUGUUCCAAGCGUUAUCCGGAUUUAUUGGGCGUAAAGCGAGCGCAGACGGUUUUUUAAGUCCCAAGUGAAAGCCCACAGCUUAACUGUGGAAGUGCUUUGGAAACUGGAUGACUUGAGUGCAGUAGAGGAGAGUGGAAUUCCAUGUGUAGCGGUGAAAUGCGUAGAUAUAUGGAGGAACACCAGUGGCGAANGCGGCUCUCUGGACUGUAACUGACGUUGAGGCUCGAAAGUGUGGGUAGCAAACAGGAUUAGAUACCCUGGUAGU
rnacentral:rRNA from 1 species